GCCGGGUGUGGUGGCGGGCGCCUGUAGUCCCAGCUACUCGGGAGGCUGAGGCAGGAGAAUGGCGCGAACCCAGGAGGCGGAGGUUGCAGUGAGCUGAGAUUGUGCCACUUUGUCGCCCAGGCUGGAGUACAGUAGCGCGAUCUCAACUCACUGCAACCUCCGCCUCCCGGGUUCAAGCGAUUCUCCUGCCUC
rnacentral:SRP_RNA from 1 species